ensembl:lncRNA SOX2-OT SOX2 overlapping transcript
AUACAAGAGAGAACAAAAUGGUUAUUCAGGGGAACGCUUUCGAUUUUUAUUGUGGGUAGCCUGCACAAAGAGCCGUGUUAUUGUAUUUAAAAGAACCAUCUGUAGCAGAAACAAUGGCAUCAAAUUAUCUUUGAAUACCCACUGAAAAAACAUAAAGCUUUUUUUUUUAUUCUUCUUCUGUACGGUGGGGGGAUAGAGCAGUGUUAGGAUAACUGACUUUUUUGUUGUUCUCUGGGUGCAUUCUUCUCGCUCCCCCUCUCUCUCCCCCUCACCCUCUCUCUCUUCUCUCUCUCCCUCUCCCUCUCUCUCUCUCUCUCUCUUUUAAAAAAUCAGCCAUUUGGGGUUUUAAGCCAUAAACGAUUUUUCUUGUUGCAGGGGAUUGCAGUGGCAAAGCUAGGCUAGGUCUUGGAGGCUGGUGUAAGGCGAUGUGGGUGAAGGCAGGAGGCUGAUGGAAAGACUGGGGGGAAGAAAAGCCGAAAUGGAUUCACGGUGCCUUGGAUGAAGGACGAGAGGGGAACUGCAAGCUCCUUCAACUGGUUCUGUCCGGUGAGAAGUGAUCAAGCUUGGGCUGACAAGAGGCUCAGGGAGCCCUCACGUUCUUUCGCUUUUUUACCUGCCAAUCAAACUGCUACAAGACAACACCCUGAUCUGGCAUGGACAUAUCCAACUUAGAAAUAAUGUUUCAUUCAAGAUAAGGCUCGUGGCUUAGGAGAUUGUGACCUGGCUUGCAUCAUUCUAAGACUUCUAUCGUCUGUUUUCAAAACCCAAGGAGGACCUCCUUUUCUGUGUGAUAGUUCCUCAUGCUUUGCCAGCCACUGGGUCUUUAAGGAAGCUUGCCAAGAGUUCCCGGCUGGGAAGGACAGUUCGAGUUCAUCAUAGACAAUGAGCUGGCACCACAGUUUAAGUGACUCACCAACCUGGUUGCCCACUUCAAAAUGUCAAGAACCACACUAUCUAAUUGAAAGAACUGUGUUUUAGCAAAGUGUAAUUGGAUCGCCUGGCAAGAUCAUCUCAAACUAUGUCUCUGACCUUGCCUUUCAGUGGCUAUUUUGAGCACAAGAGGAGAAAGGAAAUGAUUCCUGAAUUAUAUCUUGUUUUUAAAAAUUAAGAUUAAUUAAUACUUGGUUUUAUGUUCAUUCCAUUGUAGGAACUUAGUGAUUAUUACAAAACAGUCAAAAUAGGUCAUAGCAAAAUGAACGUUUAAGAUUAGGUUAAAACAUUCCUCUGAAAUUUUAGUAUUCACUUUUGAAGUGUCAAUUACUAUAUUUCUGUAAUUUCUCAUUUUUUUCUUGGCUUAGAGUCAAGAUGAAAAAUGAUAUUUGAAUCAAAGACAUUGUUUUGUUAUAUAGCCACUCCUUUCUAAAAUGCAAAUCCACCCUCCCCUCACCAAUGCUUUAUUCUUUGUGCGCGCACACACACACACACACACACACACACACACACACACACACAGACAUACACAGAACCAGCACCCAAAUGGUAGAGGAGGUCCUUCCAAGACUUCUAGGACCUGGAUCAUGUAAGCAGUAGAUGAGAAAAUGAAGUAAGAGAUAUAGAGUAAUAACAAUAAAAGUCAAUGAUUUCAUUUUACAAAAAAGUCAUUGUGUAGUACUCAGAUAUUUUUAAGAGCAAGUAUUAUUAUGACUAAAGUAUAUUAUACUUCUAAAUUAUUAUGAUUCUCAUCUAAUUUCAAGCCACACAUAGGCGCCAUUUGAAAGCAUUUUGUGUUACAACCUAUCAACAAAAAUCAACUAAUAGUUUUAUAACGUGCAUAGGUUUACCCCAUGGGGAAUUAAAAUUUUUAUCUGCAAGUAUUUCUGUUGUUGUGAGACUUUAGGACAAGACAACAUUUGGUGUUAACAUAGAAGAAUAUUCUAUGGCUUUUUUAGCUUUAAAGUUCAUUACUCUAAAAUAAAGUACACGUGGUAUUUUUUUCUUCCUAGUGUUCUCUUAUUAUAUGUAGAGUAUUUUCGGUUGUUGUUUUUAACGUAUACAUUAUUUUUAUUAAGUCAUUUCAUAAAAGAUAAGAUAUAUACUAAUAGACCCUUGGUUUUCUCCUAAUUUAAUUAUUUCAAGUCAAGCAAAAUUGGGCAAUUUUCUUUCAGGAAAAAAAAAAUAUUGAGCAUGAUUUUGAGGUAAAACUGAUUAUUUACAGCAUCUUUUCUCUAAUAGGCUAACAUUUAUGAUGGAUCUUAUUUCAAAGUUGAUUAUUCUCAAAGAAAAGUGGAGAUAUUAGAAUUUCCGAGUAAAUUGCAUUGUUUUAAAAAGUACUUUAAUGCAUUGUUCACAUUGUUGCCAGCUAUUGACCAAAAAAGAGAAGAAGAAAAAAGAAAUAAAAAAAGCAGUAUCUGCUCCAAACGUCAAGUUUUGCAGUUUGAAAGACUUGUACAUUAUAAUUGUUUUUUUCUUUUUUGGAAAGCAGUAGUAAUUAAUACCAAAGGCAUAGACAAUUUAGGGCCAUAACCUCCCUUCCCCCCUCUCCACCUUUUUUUUUUUUUUUUUUUUUUUUUAACUUUAACCAUGAUAGGCAUCUCUGCAAGGUAGGUUUUAACAUAUUUUUUUCCUAAUUUUUUUCCCUCCAUUCAGUAAGAAGGAUAAGCUUUUAGAGUACCCAGUCACCGUGGUAACUGCCAAAAAAAUUCUCCUGAAGUUUGAAGAGGUCAGCUAGCAGGGUCAACAACCCUGGCCUCUCUCUGAGCUCGGUCUAGCAUGCCCCAGCCUGCGGUUGGAGUGUCAGGCCAGAUCUGACCCUGGGAGGUGGACCAUUCUGGCUCUGAUAUAAAUUUUUCGAGUCAGUUCAUGGCCUGGACUCUCCAGGUGGCCUCCAAAAUCGAUUUUGACCCCCUGACCCUGUCUCACGGAGGCAUAGCAUCCACCCUAAGUAAGGAUUUAGCCAGGAAUGACAGCUUUCCACUGAGUGUUAUUGGGGACAGUAUAAACAGUUUGGAAAGCAAGUAAGGAGGUGUGAGGGCUAGCAAUCAUUAAAAGCACAUUAAAAAACAAUUUUUAAAAAUCUUUAUUAGAGAAAGUUGUAAAUGCAUAUCUGUUACAGAAUUCCUGUGAUUUGUAGAGUUUUCUAGUCAGUUUUGAAUAUAAAUAGGUCACAUAUCUUUAUCUUUUUGCAUACUUUGUUACAAAUAUGCAAAUAAGAUAGGCAUACUUGCUACAAAAUAGGUACAGCAGGAAUGUAAUAUGUUCAGAAAAGGCAAACUGGUUAUUAAAACACAUUAACAGGUAAGGAGUUUCUAAUAUUUUAAAUACUAAAAUUUUACAUGUGUAUUUUGAAGUUUUUAAAAUGGAAAAAUAAAGAACCUUUAAAAAACCCAACAGUGUGGAAUAAAGAUAAACUUGUUGCACUCAAGGUACAUUUCUACUUUGUAAAGCAAGAAGCCAAUACACUCAGUUGGAUAAAAAUGAGAGAAAAAUUGUAAAUAUAGAGAGUUACAGCUUAUAGAGCUGAAGAGGAAUAAAACAAAAAAAAGUGUCUCUGAAUAACUUUAUGUAUUUUCAACAGUUUAAGAUAUCAGAAACUUGGAAAAUAAAUAUGAUAUAUAUAUAAAUCAUCAGUGAUUAUUUCCUUUUCAUUCCCCCCCGCCCCCAGGAUGCCACCGUGAGUGUUUGAUUUUCUCUAGGAAAGUAGAAUUCUCUUUGAGAGUUCUAGCCUGUGAACUCAGUAUGUAAAUGUGGCCAUCAAGAAGACAGAACUGCCAAGAGGAAAGAUUAUGAAUGUUUUUCUUCCUUAAAACCAUUCACAGUGUUUCUUCUUCCAGUGCUUUACUCAGACUUCUCCCCUUUUCCCAGCUCUGUUGAAAAUGGCUUCAAAAGCAACACUGCAGUGGCUAAACCAAUUGUACUGUGAAGUUGUUGAGAUGCCAUUUCAUCUGAAUCCUUCGUAAAAAUUAGAUUUUUAAGUAGGGGUGAAUAUCCUUUUGGGAGAGGGAAUGGGAGGGUAGAAGAAGGGGGGAAAGGACAGAGCAGUUUAUAU